AUGAGUGAGCCAACAGGCCUUGCUGAGGCUUUCGAGAAGCUAGCUAAGAUCCUCGAGGAGUCGAAAUCUGGGGCCAUCGUUCCUCGACAGGAAGUGGCUCAGAAGAUCGAACUGUCGCCCAUGGACAUGAAGUUAGAGGGGGCUACCAAUUAUCUGAGCUGGUCCCGAAGGGCGUUGCUAGCUGUGGAACAGAAGGAGCUUGAUGGGCACUUGUUGGGUGCUGUUGCUGAACCAGGAGACAAGACUACCGUGGAGGGAAAGAGAUGGAAGGUCAUAAACUCUGUGCUCAUUGGCUGGUUGUUGAACUCGGUGGUGCCCCCCAUUGGACGCUCUGUGGAGGGGCUAUCCACAUCCGCUGCGAUAUGGACGACUCUGUCCACCUUGUACUCAGGUAAGGGCAAUGUCAUGCUCAUUGCUCAGAUUGAGGGGAAGAUCAGUCGGCUGCAUCAAGGUGAUGACAUGUCAGUGAUGACAUAUGUGGCAGAGCUGCAGGCUUUGUGGGCAGAGCAGGAUAACUGCGACCCUCUGGAACUCUAUGAUGCGGCUUGCAUCGAGUCAGGGCGCAAGUGGAUUGCACGCAGGCGUGUGCUGAAACUGUUGGAGGGGCUUAGAGGUUGCUUUCAUGGCAGGAGGGCAUCCCUGUUGCACCAACCUCUCCUGCCCUCUAUUGAGGAGACAGAAGAGUGGACAUCUUGA
rnacentral:rRNA from 1 species